rnacentral:rRNA from 1 species
UGAGCAAUCUGCCCUUCUCUUCGGAAUAAGCGUUGGAAACGACGUCUAAUGCCGAAUACGACCUCCUUUCGCAUGAUCGGAGGUGGAAAGCUCCGGCGGAGAAGGAUGAGCUCGCGGCCUAUCAGCUAGUUGGUGUGGGUAAUGGCCCACCAAGGCGACGACGGGUAGCCGGCCUGAGAGGGUGACCCGGCCACACUGGGACUGAGACACGGUCCAGACUCCUAGGGAGNAGCG